rnacentral:rRNA from 1 species
UACGUAGGUGGCAAGCGUUGUCCGGAUUUACUGGGCGUAAAGAGCGCGCAGGCGGUCGUUCAAGUCGCGUGUGAAAGCCCCCGGCUCAACUGGGGAGGGUCACGCGAUACUGAUCGACUGGAAGGCAGGAGAGGGUAGUGGAAUUCCCGGUGUAGUGGUGAAAUGCGCAGAUAUCGGGAAGAACACCCGUGGCGAAGGCGGCUCUCUGGAACGGUACUGACGCUGAGACGCGAAAGCGUGGGGAGCGAACAGG